rnacentral:rRNA from 1 species
UACAGGGGGGGCAAGCGUUGUUCGGAAUUACUGGGCGUAAAGGGCUCGUAGGCGGCCAACUAAGUCCGACGUGAAAUCCCCAGGCUUAACCUGGGAACUGCGUCGGAUACUGGUUGGCUUGAAUCCGGGAGAGGGAUGCGGAAUUCCAGGUGUAGCGGUGAAAUGCGUAGAUAUCUGGAGGAACACCGGUGGCGAAGGCGGCAUCCUGGACCGGUAUUGACACUGAGGCGCGAAAGCCAGGGGAGCAAACGGG